UGAGUCAUUUUAGGUGAUUGUGAUAACGUAAGGGAAAAAUCUGAUAUUACCUUACUAUAAGUGUUGUCCAAAACUGGUGCCAGAAGACUCGGUAAGGCCAGAGACGCAAACGUUAGUCGUCCUAAUCAGGCGUAAAGGGUAUGUAGGCUGCUUGAAAAGUGUCUCUUUAUAAUAGCUCUAUAUUUGAGGUAUUUUAGAAAUAGAUUUCUAAGGUAGAUUAGAUAUAGUUACAGAGAUAUGAAUGAAAGCUAGAAUCAAAUAGAGGAUAAACCAAAUAAUACUUAGAGUAGGGCUGAUAUCCAUAAAUACUAAGGGGAAUACUAAAGGUGAAAACUUUUUAUCUAUUAUUGAUUGACGCUGAGAAACGAAGGUGAGAAUAGGAAAUAGGAUUAGAUACCCAGAUACCUCUCACUGUCAACGAUGAAUGGUGGUUGUUAGUUUUUAGAAAAACUGGUAACGAUGUUAACACGAUAACCAUUCCGCCUUGCGAGUACGGUUGCAAAACUGAAACCAAAAAAAUUAGUCGGUCUCGAAGCAAACGGAGUGAAGCAUGUUAUUUAAUU
rnacentral:rRNA from 1 species